rnacentral:rRNA from 1 species
AUACUGAGGGUGCAAGCGUUAAUCGGAAUUACUGGGCGUAAAGCGCGCGUAGGCGGUAAGUUAAGUUGGAUGUGAAAUCCCUGGGCUCAACCUAGGAACUGCAUUCAAAACUGGCUCACUAGAGUAUGGUAGAGGUAAAUGGAAUUCCAGGUGUAGCGGUGAAAUGCGUAGAUAUCUGGAGGAACAUCAGUGGCGAAGGCGACUUACUGGGCCAAUACUGACGCUGAGGCGCGAAAGCAUGGGUAGCAAACGGGAUUAGAAACCCCAGUAGUCC